UACGUAGGGCGCGAGCGUUGUUCGGAAUUACUGGGCGUAAAGCGCACGUAGGCGGCUUUGUAAGUUAGAGGUGAAAGCCCAGGGCUUAACCCUGGAAUUGCCUUUAAGACUGCAUCGCUAGAAUCGUGGAGAGGUGAGUGGAAUUCCGAGUGUAGAGGUGAAAUUCGUAGAUAUUCGGAAGAACACCAGUGGCGAAGGCGACUCACUGGACACGUAUUGACGCUGAGGUGCGAAAGCGUGGGGAGCAAACAGG
rnacentral:rRNA from 1 species